AAGGGACCUAGCGUAGUACGGAAUUACUGGGCUUAAAGAGUUCGUAGGUGGUUGAAAAAGUUGGUGGUGAAAUCCCAGAGCUUAACUCUGGAACUGCCAUCAAAACUUUUCAGCUAGAGUAUGAUAGAGGAAAGCAGAAUUACUAGUGUAGAGGUGAAAUUCGUAGAUAUUAGAAAGAAUACCAAUUGCGAAGGCAGCUUUCUGGAUCAUUACUGACACUGAGGAACAAAAGCAUGGGUAGCGAAGAGGAUUAGAUACCCUCGUAGUCCAUGCCGUAAACGAUGUGUGUUAGACGAUGGAAAUUUAUUUUCAGUGUCGCAGCGAAAGCAAUAGACACACCGCCUGGGGAGUACGACCGCAAGGUUAAAACUCAAAUGAAUUGACGGGGACCCGCACAAGUAGUGGAGCAUGUGGUUUAAUUCGAAGAUACGCGCAGAACCUUACCAACACUUGACAUGUUCGUCGCGACUCUAAGAGAUUAGAGUUUUCGGUUCGGCCGGACGAAACACAGGUGCUGCAUGGCUGUCGUCAGCUCGUGUCGUGAGACGUUGGGUUAAGUCCCGCAACGAGCGCAACCCUCACUUUUAGUUGCCAUCAUUUAGUUGGGCACUCUGAAAGAACUGCCAGUGAUAAGCUGGAGGAAGGUGGGGAUGACGUCAAGUCCUCAUGGCCCUUACGUGUUGGGCUACACACGUGCUACAAUGGCAUCUACAACAGGAAGCAAAACGGCAACGUUAAGCAAAUCCCGAAAAGAUGCCUCAGUUCGGAUCGCACUCUGCAACUCGAGUGCAUGAAGCUGGAAUUACUAGUAAUCGUGGAUCAGCGUGCCACGGUGAAUGCGUUCCCGGGUCUUGUACACACCGCCCGUCACACCAUGGGAGUUGGUUCUACCUUAAGGCAAGGUUUUAAACCCUUGACCACGGUAUAGUCAGCGACUGGGGUGAAGUCGGAACAAGGUAGCCGUAGGGGAACCUGCGGCUGGAUUACCUCCUUUCUAAGGAUGAGUGAAAGAGAAAAAUUUCACUCUAAAUAAUAUACAUCCGUAAUAUUGACCGUCCCCAUUUCUCUUCUUAAAGUAAUGUUUCCUUCUUGUAGGGCCGGUAGCUCAGUUGGUUAGAGCACACCCUUGAUAAGGGUGGGGUCGAAAGUUCGAGUCUUUCUCGGCCCACCAAUAACUCAAUGGGGGAUUAGCUCAUCUGGGAGAGCGCCUGAUUUGCAUUCAGGAGGUAGCAGGUUCGAUCCCUGUAUCCUCCACCAGGAAACAUUUAGUUAUUAAAACUGUAAAUAAAAAUAAUUUAUAUCAAUAUCUAUAUCCGAACAUUAAAAGUUAUUAUUUAAUGUUCAAAAUAAAUAUUUGAUCACAACGCAGAUUAAAUUUCUUUAAAAAGAAUUUUUUUCUGUGCAUAAAUCAAGCGUUUAAGGGCGUGUAGUGGAUGCCUUGGCACUGAAAGCCGAUGAAGGACGUGAUAUGCUGCGAUAAGUUUCGGGGAGCUGUAUGUAAGCUUUGAUCCGAAAAUUU
rnacentral:sRNA from 1 species